UCACCUCAUCCAUCGUCAGAUUUCUGUAGUUGAAAUUGCUUGUGCAUCGCUGGAAGCAGAUUUCCGUCAUGCGAUUGUAAACGAGGAGGAAGUCCCGCAACUAAAUCACAAAAACAGUACAAUAAAAUCAUGAUUUUAUUAAAUAUUUGUCACAUUCAUAGAUGCAUGAAAAGGACUGCACGCGCUAGCUGUAAUACGUACAUUUCGUAGCUGUCCGGCGGGGUCCAUGACAAUUUUGUUGGCAGUAUAUAUCAAGACAAACGUUUAUAUAACUGCAAAUAAAUUACAAUUGAAAAAGACGAAAAUAAGAAAUGAUAUCCAAGAGCUAUCGCAUGACUUUCAACAGCGCGCCGCCAUGUUAACAACCACGUGACUACGAGAGCAAACGUCACGAUUAGUUGCGGCGGAAAUGUGCAAAAAGUCCUCUCCUCGCUACUGUAGUGUUGCAUUUUUCCUGUCUGUCGUCUCUGUACGUGAAUGAAGACUUUUUACUUUCUUUUUUCUUCUUUUCUUUUUAUUAACAAAAGUGGUUAAGGAGUGUAAUAAAGCUUUUGCAGUAUGUCUCACUAUUUUUUCUUUCAUCUGACAGGUUCUAGCAAAGCAAACUGAGAAUUUUUCAUAGUUGGCAUAAAUAUUUGAUAAAUUUUGUGGUAAUUUUUUGCAUCUUCAGACAUUCUUCAAAGCUUUUUAAACAAAGAAUUACAGAUACAAAAAUAGAGUCACCAAGACAUUUAAUAUCAAGACAAAGCCACAAAAAUAUUACAACAACUCUGAAUAAUAGCUAUGAAACUGUCCUUAUUAUUCUGUGCAUACUGUAUCUACAUCAAAUGACUUGAGUCAACCUUAUUUGCACAAAUAUGCAUUUAUAGCCUGUUAUCCUGAAAAUCUAAAAAAAAAAAAACAUAAAAGUAAGCAGAUAAAUAUUUGUUAAUAUAUUCUUCUUAUAAGUACAACAAACAGACCAACCUUCAAAUGCAAGAAACAAGAAAGCAGAUUUAAAGUGGUGAACUCCUUUAUAUGUGUCUCGAUUGGACACAAGAUCAGAUAGCUGGUCUCCUCUGCAUGCUUUUGAAUGCACAGAAAUUAUGAUUUGGGGUAGAGAUGAGCUUAAAAUAUCACAGUCGCUGACAGCCCCACCCUACAGUAUCCUGUGUUUUUACAAGUAAGACGCUAAAGUUUUUUUUGUUGUUGUUUUUUUUUUACUUUCUAACUGUUAACUGUCCAGUUUUAGACUUUGUCUUGAUCUACCGAGGGAGUGAUCAAAGCCUUCAUGCACAUUUCUGUGCAUAUCAAACUCUCUCUCUACAUUAUCAUCUCUUUCUCUUUCUCUUUCAAUUUCCAUCUCUCUCUCCCUCUCUCUCUCCCUCUCCCUCUCCCUCUCUUCUGCCUCCAGGGCUACUUGAUGACUGUUGAGGUAGAUGCUGUGACGUGAAAUCAGGAGGCUGCUGCUCCGGGACGGGAGGGUGACAUCAGGCUCGUCAUCCUGGUCCAUGCAGAUCUGCUGGGAUGCAGGUUGAGGAUGUGUCUGGGCCUGCACUACAGUGAGGGGCCGCAAAUGUCUGCAGAGAGUGGUGAAGACUGCUGAGAAGAUCAUCAGGACUCCACUGCCCUCUCUGCAGGCCAUUUACCAUCGCAGAGUCCACAGGAGAGCUGCCUCCAUCCUUAAAGACUCCACCCACC
ensembl:lncRNA